rnacentral:lncRNA from 1 species
ACAACUCUAAAGCGACCUAUAUUAAGGAACGAAGGGAGUAAAAAAUAAAAAGUUAAAGAGUUGAGUCCUUCUAGGGGGAUAUUUUUUUGCUGACAUUCUAGCGACAUUAUUUUUUUGGUUUUUUUUUUGUAGUACUUCUCAAAAAAUGUAUAAUAUUUAUUCCAACUGAAAUUUUUGUAAAAAAUAGUAUUUAGGUGUAAUUUGG